rnacentral:rRNA from 1 species
UGCCAGCCGCCGCGGUAAGACGGAGGGUGCGAACGUUGUUCGGAAUCACUGGGCAUAAAGCGCACGUAGGCGGCCGAGUCAGUCCGUUGUGAAAGCCCCCGGCUCAACCGGGGAAUGGCAAUGGAUACUGCUUGGCUAGAGGACGGUUGGGGUGAGUGGAACUCCUGGUGGAGCGGUGAAAUGCGUAGAUAUGUGGAAGAACACCAGUGGCGAAGGCGGCUCACUGGCUCGAUACUUACGCUGAGGAGCGAAAGCGUGGGGAGCGAACGGGAUUAGAUA